GGGGAAUAUUGCACAAUGGGGGAAACCCUGAUGCAGCGACGCCGCGUGAGUGAAGAAGUAUUUCGGUAUGUAAAGCUCUAUCAGCAAGGAAGAUAAUGACGGUACUUGACUAAGAAGCCCCGGCUAACUACGUGCCAGCAGCCGCGGUAAUACGUAGGGGGCAAGCGUUAUCCGGAUUUACUGGGUGUAAAGGGAGCGUAGGUGGCAUGGUAAGUCAGAUGUGAAAGCCCAGGGCUCAACCCUGGGACUGCAUUUGAAACUAUCAGGCUAGAGUGCAGGAGAGGUAAGUGGAAUUCCUAGUGUAGCGGUGAAAUGCGUAGAUAUUAGGAAGAACACCAGUGGCGAAGGCGGCUUACUGGACUGUAACUGACACUGAGGCUCGAAAGCGUGGGGAGCAAAC
rnacentral:rRNA from 1 species